rnacentral:lncRNA from 1 species
CCUGGAGCUGUGGACUCUUCGUGGAGCUGUGGACAAUUCAUGGAACUGUGGACUGUUUGUGGAACUGUGGACUGUUCGUGGAGCUGGCUGUGUGGAGCAGUGGUGAGGAGGAUGAAGAGGAUGAAGGCCAGGUGGAGGUUCUGGUGGAGGUUCUGUUGGACUGUUCUGUCUCUGCUCUGGACCUGCUGGACAUGGAUCUGCACUGGAAGCCCCACCUCGGUUCUGGCUCUACAGCGCCACCUGCCUUUAUUAGUCCCAUUCAGAAUAUCUAUAGCUCUAUAGAUACACAUAGAACCCUGUUCCAAACACAAGGUGCUGCAGAACCUUUUACAGAACCAGACCAGUGUCCACAGGAACCAGAGAGGGGCGGGGCUUAGCCAAGACUUCAGUAUAUCAAAGUUUCCAUUGGCUCAAAAAAGGGGCGUGGUUUAGCCUAGAUUCUGUUGGCUCAAAAAGGGGGUGUGGCUUAGCCUAGUCUCCAACAUAUGAACAUUUACAGACAUGGGAGGGGCGUGGUUUAUUGUAGAGGGGCGUGAUUUUGCCUAGUCUCCAGCAUUUUUACAUUUCCAUUGGCUCAAAUAUGUAUGUCCAAUUUUUCUAUUACCUCAAGAGGGGUGUGGCUCCAGUAUGUAAAAGUAUGUAAAAAGUAUGUAAAAGUUUCCACUGACAUGAGAGGGGCGUGGCUUAGUCAAAAGCAGUGUGGUUUAGCAUAGAUCUUAUUAUAUCAAAGUUUCCAUUGACUCGAGAGGGGUGUGGCUUAGUCUAGAUUCCAGCACAAAAAAAAUUACACUGGCUCGAAAAGGGGUGUGGUUUAGCCUAGUCUCCAGUAUUUCUCAGUAAGUUUCCAUUGGCUAAAGAGAGGCAUAGCUUAUUCUUCUCUCCAGCAAAUCAAAAUUUACAUUGGCUCACAAAGGGGCGUGGUUUAGUUUUGACUCCAGCAUAUCCACAUUUACACUGCCUCAAAAAUGGGCAUGGUUUAGCCUAGUCUCCAGUAUUUAAAAGUUUCCAUUGGCUAAAGAGAGGGAUAGCUUAGGCUAGACUCCAGCAUAUCAAAAUUGUCACUGGCCCAAAAUGGGGUGUGGCUUAACCAAGUCUCCAUCAUAUAGAAAUUGUCUUAAAAAGGGGUGUGGCCUUGUCUAGACUGCAGUAUUUUAACAUUUAUACUGCCUCAAAGGGGUGUGGCUUAGUCUAGACUACAGCAUAUCAAAGUUUCCAUUGGCUUGAGAGUGGCAUAGCUCCAGGCAGGUCCCAGAGAACUAAUUCACUGUUGUUCUGACUUGCA